AAGACUUUAAGUUAAAUAAACUAAUAUCCUUCAAAGCUAUAAAUAAAGAGUACUCUUUAAGUCUUA
rnacentral:tRNA from 1 species